AGGCAGAAUGCUUAGCAAAGUAAUUUCGGCUUACCUCUUGAAAUAUAUCUAUUUCUCUGCCUU
rnacentral:tRNA from 1 species